AGUGAACGCUGGCGGUAUGCCUAACACAUGCAAGUCGAACGGCAGCACAGUAAGAGCUUGCUCUUACGGGUGGCGAGUGGCGGACGGGUGAGGAAUACAUCGGAAUCUACUUUUUCGUGGGGGAUAACGUAGGGAAACUUACGCUAAUACCGCAUACGACCUACGGGUGAAAGCAGGGGAUCUUCGGACCUUGCGCGAUUGAAUGAGCCGAUGUCGGAUUAGCUAGUUGGCGGGGUAAAGGCCCACCAAGGCGACGAUCCGUAGCUGGUCUGAGAGGAUGAUCAGCCACACUGGAACUGAGACACGGUCCAGACUCCUACGGGAGGCAGCAGUGGGGAAUAUUGGACAAUGGGCGCAAGCCUGAUCCAGCCAUACCGCGUGGGUGAAGAAGGCCUUCGGGUUGUAAAGCCCUUUUGUUGGGAAAGAAAAGCAGCAGGUUAAUACCCCGCUGUUCUGACGGUACCCAAAGAAUAAGCAACGGCUAACUUCGUG
rnacentral:rRNA from 1 species